ACAUAUAGACAGGUGGUGCAUGGUUGUCGUCAGCUCGUGUCGUGAGAUGUUAGGUUAAGUCCUGCAACGAGCGCAACCCUUAUGAACAGUUGCCAAUAUUAAGUUAGGAACUCUGUUCAGACUGCCGAGGUUAACUCGGAGGAAGGUGGGGAUGACGUCAAAUCAUCAUGCCCCUUACGUCUUGGGCUACACACGUGCUACAAUGGCUACUACAAAGGGCAGCGAGCUGGUAACAGUAAGCCAAUCUCAAAAAAGUAGUCUCAGUUCGGAUUGUGGGCUGCAACCCGCCCACAUGAAGUUGGAGUUGCUAGUAAUCCCGAAUCAGAAUGUCGGGGUGAAUGCGUUCCCGGGUCUUGUACACACCGCCCGUCACGCCAUGGGAGUUGGGAGUACCCAAAGUCGGUGAGCUAACCUGCAAAGGGAGCAGCCGCCUAAGGUAAGACCGAUGACUGGGGUGAAGUCGUAACAAGGUAGCCGUAUCGGAAGGUGCGGCUGGAUCACCUCCUU
rnacentral:rRNA from 1 species